UAAUUAUCGAGAGCAGUGACUCUCAUAAUUA
rfam:Astyanax mexicanus Tnplaced_Scaffold3579, whole genome shotgun sequence.